ACACUCCUACGGGAGGCAGCAGUGGGGAAUUUUGGACAAUGGGCGAAAGCCUGAUCCAGCAAUGCCGCGUGAGUGAAGAAGGCCUUCGGGUUGUAAAGCUCUUUUGUCAGGGAAGAAACGGUGAGAGCUAAUAUCUUUUGCUAAUGACGGUACCUGAAGAAUAAGCACCGGCUAACUACGUGCCAGCAGCCGCGGUAAUACGUAGGGUGCAAGCGUUAAUCGGAAUUACUGGGCGUAAAGCGUGCGCAGGCGGUUUUGUAAGUCUGAUGUGAAAUCCCCGGGCUCAACCUGGGAAUUGCAUUGGAGACUGGAAGGCUAGAAUCUGGCAGAGGGGGGUAGAAUUCCACGUGUAGCAGUGAAAUGCGUAGAUAUGUGGAGGAACACCGAUGGCGAAGGCAGCCCCCUGGGUCAAGAUUGACGCUCAUGCACGAAAGCGUGGGGAGCAAACAGGAUUAGAAACCCGAGUAGUCCCA
rnacentral:rRNA from 1 species